rnacentral:rRNA from 1 species
AACGAACGCUGGCGGCAUGCCUAACACAUGCAAGUCGAACGAGACCUUCGGGUCUUUGGUCGCACGGGUUCGUAACGCGUGGGAACCUUCCCUUAUGUUCGGAAUAACUCUCCGAAUGGGGUGCUAAUACCGGAUAAUGUCUUCUGCCCAAAGAUUUAUCGCCUUUGGUUGGGCCCGCGUUGCAUUCGCUAGUUGGUAGGGUAAAAGCCUACCAAGGCGACGAUCCAUAGAUGGUUUGUGAGGCUGAUCAGCCACACUGGGAGUGAGACGCGGCCCAGACUCCUACGGGAGGCAGCAGUGGGGAAUAUUGGAAAAUGGGCGAAAGGCUGAUCCAGCAAUGCCGCGUGAGUGAUGAAGGCCUUAGGGUUGUAAAGCUCUUUUACCCGGGAUGAUAAUGACAGUACCGGGAGAAUAAGCCCCGGCUAACUCCGUG